AGCAGCCAUCAUUUAAAGAAAGCGUAAUAGCUCACUGGUCGAGUCGGCCUGCGCGGAAGAUGUAACGGGGCUAAACCAUGCACCGAAGCUGCGGCAGCGACACUAUGUGUUGUUGGGUAGGGGAGCGUUCUGUAAGCCUGCGAAGGUGUGCUGUGAGGCAUGCUGGAGGUAUCAGAAGUGCGAAUGCUGACAUAAGUAACGAUAAAGCGGGUGAAAAGCCCGCUCGCCGGAAGACCAAGGGUUCCUGUCCAACGUUAAUCGGGGCAGGGUGAGUCGACCCCUAAGGCGAGGCCGAAAGGCGUAGUCGAUGGGAAACAGGUUAAUAUUCCUGUACUUGGUGUUACUGCGAAGGGGGGACGGAGAAGGCUAUGUUAGCCGGGCGACGGUUGUCCCGGUUUAAGC
rnacentral:rRNA from 1 species